rnacentral:RNase_P_RNA from 1 species
UGGGAGGUAAGAAAGGUAGUCGCUCUUCAUCAGAAAUCUGAUGAAGGGAGGAAAGUCCGAACUCCGUAGAGCAAGAUACCAGGUAACGCCUGGGGGCUAAGAUCCAAAGAUCUUAGUCACGGAAAGUGCAACAGAAAACACACCGCCUCGAAUUUACUUCGAGGUAAGGGUGAAAUGGCGGGGUAAGAGCCCACCAGCAUCAGGGUAACCUGAUGGCUUGGCAAACCCUAUCCGGAGCAAGGUCAAAUAGGGGAGGAAGUGAGUUCCGGCUUCUUGCUCUAACUCACUACGAAGCUGCUCGCUUCGUUACUACUCCCGGGUAGACCGCUGGAUUCCAAUGGCGACAUUGGAACAAGAUAGAUGACUACCUCUCCUGCGGGAGAACAGAAUUCGGCUUACUGACUUCCCAUCUC